UACAGAGGUGGCAAGCGUUGUUCGGAAUUACUGGGCGUAAAGGGCGCGUAGGCGGCCUUCUAAGUCAGACGUGAAAUCCCCAGGCUUAACUUGGGAACUGCGUCUGAUACUGGGAGGCUUGAGUGCGGGAGAGGGAUGUGGAAUUCCAGGUGUAGCGGUGAAAUGCGUAGAUAUCACUUGGAACGCCAAUGGUGAAGACAGCUCGCUGGGGGUGUCCUGACGCUGAGGCGCGAAAGCCAGGGGGAGCGAACGGG
rnacentral:rRNA from 1 species